UUAUUUGAAACAGGCUACAACCUACAAUACUGGGUAAAUAUGGAUUUUAAAAAUAAAGUGGGCCUAAGAGCAGCCAUCUUAUAGAAAGCGUUAAAGCUCAACUAUUUUCUUUCCUGAAUCUCAAAAACUAUAUUGAACCCUUUAUCAAUACUGAACUAUUUUAUACUCUUAUAAAAGUCAUUAUGCUAGAACUAGUAACAAGAAUUAGCCCUUCUCCAAAAUGCAUACUUAAGCCAAAAUGGACCCCCCAUUGGCAGUUACCGCAAAUGCACCUAUUAUAGUACCUCCCAACUAGACAACUCUAUAACCCUUAGCGUUAACCUGACACCAGAGCAUUACAGGAAAGAUUAAAAGAGAAAGAAGGAAUUCGGCAAAUCUCCGUCCCGCCUGUUUACCAAAAACAUCGCCUCUUGACCAAAUAUAAGAGGUCCAGCCUGCCCACUGACAUAGUUUAACGGCCGCGGUACCCUAACCGUGCGAAGGUAGCAUAAUCACUUGUUCUUUAAAUAAGGACUUGUAUCAACGGCAUCACGAGGACGAUACUGUCUCCUUUCUCCAGUCAGUGAAACUGAUCUCCCCGUGAAGAAGCGGGGAUUGACCU
rnacentral:rRNA from 1 species